rnacentral:rRNA from 1 species
AACGAACGCUGGCGGCAUGCCUAACACAUGCAAGUCGAACGGUAACGCGGGGCAACCUGGCGACGAGUGGCGAACGGGUGAGUAAUGCAUCGGAACGUGCCUGGUAGUGGGGGAUAACUGCUCGAAAGAGCAGCUAAUACCGCAUACGACCUGAGGGUGAAAGGGGGGGAUCGCAAGACCUCUCGCUAUCAGAGCGGCCGAUGUCGGAUUAGCUAGUUGGUGGGGUAAAGGCCCACCAAGGCGACGAUCCGUAGCUGGUCUGAGAGGACGACCAGCAACACUGGGACUGAGACACGGCCCAGACUCCUACGGGAGGCAGCAGUGGGGAAUUUUGGACAAUGGACGCAAGUCUGAUCCAGCCAUGCCGCGUGCGGGAAGAAGGCCUUCGGGUUGUAAACCGCUUUUGUCAGGGAAGAAAUCUUCUGGACUAAUACUAUGGGAGGAUGACGGUACCUGAAGAAUAAGCACCGGCUAACUACGUGCCAGCAGCCGCCGUAACAC